UCGUCAACAAAGUUUUUCUUC
ensembl:piRNA 21ur-5434 ncRNA